ensembl:snRNA U6 U6 spliceosomal RNA
AUGCUCAUUCAGCAGCACAUAUACUAAAAUUGGAAUGAUACAGAGAUUAGCAUGGUCCCUGCACGAGGAUGACACACAAAUUCGUGAUGCUUUCCAUAUUUUU